AGAGUUUGAUCAUGGCUCAGAACGAACGCUGGCGGCGUGGAUAAGACAUGCAAGUCGGACGGGACUUUCUGUUGUAGCAAUACGACGGAAAGUUUAGUGGCGAACGGGUGCGUAACACGUGGGCAAUUUGCCUUAAAGUGCGGGAUAGCUCGGCGAAAGCCGGAUUAAUACCGCAUGUGGCUACUGGAGACAUCUUCGGGACGCUAAAGGUGGCGCAAGCUACCGCUUUUUGAGGAGCCCGCGGCCUAUCAGCUUGUUGGUGAGGUAACGGCUCACCAAGGCGUUGACGGGUAGCUGGUCUGAGAGGACGACCAGCCACACUGGGACUGAGACACGGCCCAGACACCUACGGGUGGCAGCAGUCGAGAAUUUUUGACAAUGGGGGAAACCCUGAUCGAGCGACGCCGCGUGGAGGAUGAAGGUCUUCGGGUUGUAAACUCCUGUCAUUUGGGAACAAGGCGCGUGUAUUAACUGUGCAAGCGUUGAUAGUACCAGAAGAGGAAGAGACGGCUAACUCUGUGCCAGCAGCCGCGGUAAUACAGAGGUCUCAAGCGUUGUUCGGAUUCAUUGGGCGUAAAGGGUGUGUAGGUGGCGCGCUAAGUCGGGUGUGAAAUUUCGGAGCUUAACUCCGAAACUGCAUUCGAUACUGGCGUGCUUGAGGACUGGAGAGGAGACUGGAAUUUACGGUGUAGCAGUGAAAUGCGUAGAUAUCGUAAGGAAGACCAGUGGCGAAGGCGGGUCUCUGGACAGUUCCUGACACUGAGACACGAAGGCCAGGGGAGCAAACGGGAUUAGAUACCCCAGUAGUCC
rnacentral:rRNA from 1 species